GGAGGUAGUGACAAUAAAUCACAAUGCGGGACUAUACGUCUUGCAAUUGGAUUGAGAACAAUGUACAACUCUUAUCGAUAAGCCAUUGGAGGGCAAGUCUGGUGCCAGCAGCCGCGGUAAUUCCAGCUCCAAUAGCGUAUAUUAACGUUGUUGCAGUUAAAAAGCUCGUAGUUGAAGUGUGGGUGAUCGCUGUUGUGAGACUUCGGUCUCUCGACAGUAAGUCACCCCCUUCCAGUAUCCAGUAGUGGGUAUUCAGUUCAGUUACUUACUAUUGUGUGUUGGUCCUUUACUGUGAGAAAAUUAGAGUGUUCAAAGCAGGCGUUUGCUUGAAUAGAUUAGCAUGGAAUAAUAAUUGAAGGCUUUCGUGUUCGAUUUGAUUGGUUUGUUCAUGGAAGCAAGGUUAAAAGGAACAGUUGGGGGUAUUCAUAUUCACUAGUUAGAGGUGAAAUUCUCGGAUUUAUGGAAGAUGAACAAGUGCGAAAGCA
rnacentral:rRNA from 1 species